rnacentral:rRNA from 1 species
AGCGAACGCUGGCGGCAGGCCUAACACAUGCAAGUCGAACGAACCUUUCGGGGUUAGUGGCGGACGGGUGAGUAACACGUGGGAACGUGCCUUUAGGUUCGGAAUAACUCAGGGAAACUUGUGCUAAUACCGAAUGUGCCCUUCGGGGGAAAGAUUUAUCGCCUUUAGAGCGGCCCGCGUCUGAUUAGCUAGUUGGUUGAGGUAAUGGCUCACCAAGGCGACGAUCAGUAGCUGGUCUGAGAGGAUGAUCAGCCACAUUGGGACUGAGACACGGCCCAAACUCCUACGGGAAGCAGCAGUGGGGAAUCUUGCGCAAUGGGCGAAAGCCUGACGCAGCCAUGCCGCGUGAAUGAUGAAGGUCUUAGGAUUGUAAAAUUCUUUCACCGGGGACGAUAAUGACGGUACCCGGAGAAGAACCCCCGGCUAACUUCGUG